rnacentral:lncRNA from 1 species
GUUGGAAAAGACUGAUGAACUGACAUCCAAUUUCUCUUUUAGCUGAAUGAACAUUCCUCCUAUCAUGGAAUUCAAUGUAUGGAAAGCCUCAUGUUUUGGGCCCAAACCCACAUGCUAUAAAACUUCUUAACUCUCCAAUUGCCAUCAGGACAAUUCCAUACCACCAGAAAGCACUUUUCAGGUCAUUUUAAGAUGGGAGGCCUCGAUAAAAUGAAAGGAGCAAUAGCUGAGGACUCAGGGGCUUGAGAUUCAAGUCCUGACUAAACCAAUUAUUAUCUUUGUGAUCUCAGGUAUGUAGCUUAAUUUCACCAAACAUACUUCCUCAUCCAUGAAAUGGGAAGAAUAAUAC